ACCUUUGCGCAGUGGCAAUAUCGUAACCAAUGAGGUUUAUCCGAGGUGCGAUUAUUGCUAGUUGAAAACUUUUACCACGCCGGCACGGUAGCUCAGCGUGUUCGGUCAGAGAGCCGCUUGGCCUCUGUAAUAAAAAAACU